GGGCGCGACAAGGUUUCGACGUGGAUAACAAAGGAUUGACAGCGUGACGGCAGGUGCUGGUACUGCCACAAAGAUUCCGGCAAAAACACAAGGCGCUGAAGAAGCCCUCCCUCUCGCUGCUUGAUAGCACGAGACACUGCCUGAUAGCUCUGUUCGGGCGAUUAGAGCAGUGAUUCAAUCGAACAAGGUUCCCCAAGAUGCUUGUGGUAAGGAGAACCGAGAUACUACAAGAACCUCUCCUGGAAGCCCCCUUGUUGGCGUUUAGAGAGAGUACAAGAACAAGGAAGGUCACGUAGGAUAGUUAAUUUGGCGAUAUUCGCGGACGGUGGUUCAAUUCCACCCGCGUCCACCA
rnacentral:tmRNA from 1 species